rnacentral:rRNA from 1 species
AGGAUGAACGCUGGCGGCGUGCUUAACACAUGCAAGUCGAACGAUGAAGGCUGGAGCUUGCUCUGGCUGGAUUAGUGGCGAACGGGUGAGUAACACGUGAGUAACCUGCCCCAGACUCUGGGGUAAGCGCUGGAAACGGCGUCUAAUACCGGAUACGAGCUUCCACCGCAUGGUGAGGAGCUGGAAAGAAUUUCGGUCUGGGAUGGACUCGCGGCCUAUCAGCUUGUUGGUGAGGUAAUGGCUCACCAAGGCGACGAC